UUACCAUUUUAUAUGUCAUUACAAAGUUUAAACACUUCGUUAUUUUCUCAAGUAAAAGAGAUCUACGAUGCAUGACCAAUUGUAAAUAUGAAACUAGAUUGUACGGUAUAGAUUAAAGUGUAGCUGGCAUGUGUAUAAGUCGCAUCAUUUCGUAAAAACAUCCGUGAUUGACAAAUAAAGAUGGAAUUUACCGGCUGAAAAACAGUGUUUGAUCUACAAGAAGAAGAAAGACUUUUAGUCAACCCUUAACAAAGUUCUGAAAUAUCUGUGAAAGUUAAAUGCUCAACAAUGUGGAAGGUGCCUUGUUUGAUAGUCUCCCUUGUUAUAUUUCAAGUUCAAGCACUGGAAUUAUGCCAGACUCAACUUGGAUAUGAAUAUUUCAUUCAGAAUAUCAUGGAAAAUACGCGACCAAAAACUGUAAUUGGUCACGUGGUCAUCGAGGGUGACGUUACACAGAUAGAAAUAGUCCAGGCUGAGCAUAGCUAUUAUUCGUUCAAUAAUUUAACCCGAAAUGUGACAUUAGAAAACGAACUGAACACUGAUCAAAACGCGGAAGAAAUACCACCUCUUAUCCUUAAUUGUAGAAAAGUUGGAACAUCUCAGCAGGAAUCAGGC